rnacentral:rRNA from 1 species
UACGUAGGUGGCGAGCGUUGUCCGGAUUUACUGGGCGUAAAGAGCGCGCAGGCGGCUGGUCAAGUCCGAUGUGAAAGCUCCCGGCUUAACUGGGAAAUUGCAUCGGAAACUGAUCGGCUGGAAGGUGGGAGAGGGUAGCGGAAUUCCCGGUGUAGUGGUGAAAUGCGUAGAUAUCGGGAGGAACACCAGUGGCGAAGGCGACUACCUGGCCUGUUCUUGACGCUGAGGCGCGAAAGCUAGGGUAGCAAACGGG